rnacentral:misc_RNA from 1 species
AAGUCGUAACAAGGUUUCCGUAGGUGAACCUGCGGAAGGAUCAUUAAAAAUCCCCAAUGUAUAUAUAGCUUGUUGAAAUGUGUUUGAAGGGGGGAGAGGAGAGGAGAGAGAAAUGAAAGGGUGUCAGAGGUGGGGUGGGGUGGGAUACUAUCCCUCUCCCUCUUCCUCUUACCAUCUUUCUUCUUUGUCCCCUUCCCUUCCCCUUGAUACUCCACACCUGUUUGUAUUCAUUGAUCAGCUUUAUUAUAACCUAUGAGAUACAACUUAUAACAAUGGAUCUCUAGGCUCUU